GCAGCAUUUCAGUUUGCUUGCAAACUGGAGAUGGCGACCGGCGCACGGGUGAGUAACACGUAUCCAACCUGCCGAUAACUCGGGGAUAGCCUUUCGAAAGAAAGAUUAAUACCCGAUGGUAUAAUCAGACCGCAUGGUCUUGUUAUUAAAGAAUUUCGGUUAUCGAUGGGGAUGCGUUCCAUUAGGCAGUUGGUGAGGUAACGGCUCACCAAACCUUCGAUGGAUAGGGGUUCUGAGAGGAAGGUCCCCCACAUUGGAACUGAGACACGGUCCAAACUCCUACGGGAGGCAGCAGUGAGGAAUAUUGGUCAAUGGGCGCAGGCCUGAACCAGCCAAGUAGCGUGAAGGAUGACUGCCCUAUGGGUUGUAAACUUCUUUUAUAUGGGAAUAAAGUUUUCCACGUGUGGAAUUUUGUAUGUACCAUAUGAAUAAGGAUCGGCUAACUCCGUGCCAGCAGCCGCGGUAAUACGGAGGAUCCGAGCGUUAUCCGGAUUUAUUGGGUUUAAAGGGAGCGUAGGUGGACAGUUAAGUCAGUUGUGAAAGUUCGCGGCUCAACCGUAAAAUUGCAGUUGAUACUGGCUGUCUUGAGUACAGUAGAGGUGGGCGGAAUUCGUGGUGUAGCGGUGAAAUGCUUAGAUAUCACGAAGAACUCCGAUUGCGA
rnacentral:rRNA from 1 species